UACGUAGGGUGCGAGCGUUGUCCGGAAUUAUUGGGCGUAAAGGGCGCGUAGGCGGCCUGGUCAGUCGGAUGUGAAAGCCCGGGGCUCAACCCCGGAACGGCAUCCGAGACGGCCAGGCUGGAGACCGGGAGAGGAGAGUGGAAUAGCCAGUGUAGAGGUGAAAUUCGUAGAUAUUGGCUGGAACACCGGUGGCGAAAGCGGCUCUCUGGCCCGGUUCUGACGCUGAGGCGCGAAAGCGUGGGGAGCAAACAGG
rnacentral:rRNA from 1 species